UAUUCUGAAAUAUUGGAGACAGCAGA
rnacentral:piRNA from 1 species